GUAGGUGAACCUGCGGAAGGAUCAUUAGUGAAAAAACCGAGGGAUCCGCAAGGAACCCCCUCAACCCUCUCACAUCCACACACCUGUGCACCUGUUGGGGGGAGAGAACAUCUCCCCCUAUUUUUCAACCAACACAUACUUCUGUCCUUUGGAUGUCAUAUUUUGAUCGCUGUCAUGGCGUUGAAACCUAAUAAAACUUUUAACAACGGAUCUCUUGGCUCUC
rnacentral:misc_RNA from 1 species